rnacentral:tRNA from 1 species
GGUUGUGGCUCAGCGGUAGAGUGCUCGCCUAAGCAUGCGUGAGGCACUGGGUUCGAUCCUCAGCACCA